GACGAAGGGGGCUAGCGUUGUUCGGAAUUACUGGGCGUAAAGCGUGUGUAGGUGGUUGCCAUAGUCAGGUGUGAAAGCCUUGAGCUCAACUCAAGAAAUGCACUUGAUACUGGGCAGCUAGAGGACCGGAGAGGAUAGUGGAAUUCCCAGUGUAGUGGUGAAAUACGUAGAGAUUGGGAAGAACACCAGUGGCGAAGGCGGCUAUCUGGACGGUUUCUGACACUAAGACACGAAAGCGUGGGGAGCAAACAGG
rnacentral:rRNA from 1 species